rnacentral:rRNA from 1 species
GAUGAACGCUGGCGGCGUGCCUAAUACAUGCAAGUCGAGCGAACAGACGAGGAGCUUGCUCCUCUGACGUUAGCGGCGGACGGGUGAGUAACACGUGGAUAACCUACCUAUAAGACUGGGAUAACUUCGGGAAACCGGAGCUAAUACCGGAUAAUAUAUUGAACCGCAUGGUUCAAUAGUGAAAGACGGUUUUGCUGUCACUUAUAGAUGGAUCCGCGCCGCAUUAGCUAGUUGGUAAGGUAACGGCUUACCAAGGCGACGAUGGGUAGCCGACCUGAGAGGGUGAUCGGCCACACUGGAACUGAGAGACGGUCCAGACUCCUACGGGAGGCAGCAGUAGGGAAUCUUCCGCAAUGGGCGAAAGCCUGACGGAGCAAAGCCGCGUGAGUGAUGAAGGUCUUCGGAUCGUAAAACUCUGUUAUUAGGGAAGAACAAAUGUGUAAGUAACUAUGCACGUCUUGACGGUACCUAAUCAGAAAGCCACGGCUAACUACGUG